ensembl:scaRNA small Cajal body-specific RNA 13
ACUUUGCAGCCUUGUGAAGUUGCUCCUUGCAACCAUUAUUGCUCGUGAGCUCAACAAGGAUGCAGAAAGUAUGUCAAAGAAUGAAAAGGCGUGACUUCUAGAGGUUUCAGGAGUUUCACGUGCGAUGUUCCUUGGACACAGUCCUGCUUUCCACGGAGGUGAUGGGCUCUUCCUGUGUCUUUCACCUUUCUUGAGGCAGGUAGAGAAAAGUACUCGACAGCGAGAUAUUGUUUGUCACAGGAGAGAUUCCUGUCAGACACUUUCAGCUGUCACAAUG